UCAAUUCCCAUUUUACAGAUGAGAUAACUGAGGCACAGUGAAGUGACUUGCCCACGGUCACACAGAUGGCAAGUGGCGGAGCCCGGAUCGGAACGCAAGUCCUUCUGACCUUUGGAGGCUAAUGAGCUGCCUUUCCCUGCAACGGACUUUAUUCUGACGUUCUGGACCGAUGGUGAAGACAGGCCAUCCUGGACAAACAAGGGCCAGCGUCCAGUUGAAAAGAAGAACCGCCUAAUGGUAAGAACGUAGGACCCGAAUCCUAAACCCAUCUUCGCCACCUACCUCCUGUGGGAUCUUGGGCCACUCGCAACUCCUCUGUGCCUCCAUUUUCUCAUCUGUAAAAUGGAGAUGAAAUACUUGGUCUUCCUCCCUCUUAGAGAGUGAACCCCAAGAGAGAUAGGGGUUGUGUCUGAACUGAUCUCUAG
rnacentral:lncRNA from 1 species